UACGUAGGGCGCAAGCGUUGUCCGGAACUAUUGGGCGUAAAGAGCUCGUAGGCGGCUUGUCACGUCGGGUGUGAAAGCCCGGGGCUUAACCCCGGGUCUGCAUUCGAUACGGGCUGGCUGGAGUGUGGUAGGGGAGAUCGAAUUCCUGGUGUAGCGGUGAAAUGCGCAGAUAUCAGGAGGAACACCGGUGGCGAAGGCGGAUCUCUGGGCCAUUACUGACGCUGAGGAGCGAAAGCGUGGGGAGCGAACAGG
rnacentral:rRNA from 1 species